rnacentral:snoRNA from 1 species
AAGCGAACUCGACAGUUUUAAUGGCGUAGUUUGUUUUGAAGGAUGGCGAAAGCAAAAAUUCUCUGCAAUUCUCCGUGCCUUUGUGAUCUUUCUUUUGCAAAUGGCCUCGAACAAGUUGCUACAUU